rnacentral:rRNA from 3 species
GGUUGACCUCGGAUCAGGUAGGGAUACCCGCUGAACUUAAGCAUAUCAAUAAGCGGAGGAAAAGAAACCAACCGGGAUUGCCUCAGUAACGGCGAGUGAAGCGGCAAGAGCUCAAAUUUGAAAUCUGGCCCCUCCGGGGUCCGAGUUGUAAUUUGUAGAGGAUGCUUCGGGUGCGGCCCCCGUCUAAGUGCCCUGGAACGGGCCAUCGGAGAGGGUGAGAAUCCCGUCUGGGACGGGGUGUCCGCGUCCAUGUGAAGCUCCUUCGACGAGUCGAGUUGUUUGGGAAUGCAGCUCUAAAUGGGUGGUAAAUUUCAUCUAAAGCUAAAUACUGGCCGGAGACCGAUAGCGCACAAGUAGAGUGAUCGAAAGAUGAAAAGCACUUUGAAAAGAGAGUUAAACAGCACGUGAAAUUGUUGAAAGGGAAGCGCUUGCGACCAGACUCGCUUCCGGGGUUCAGCCGGCUUUCGGGCCGGUGUACUUCCCCGGGGGCGGGCCAGCGUCGGUUUGGGCGGCCGGUCAAAGGCCCCUGGAAUGUAACGCCUCUCGGGGCGCCUUAUAGCCAGGGGUGUCAUGCGGCCAGCCUGGACCGAGGAACGCGCUUCGGCACGGACGCUGGCAUAAUGGUCGUAAACGACC